GUAUAUACAUGUAUUUGUAACACAAGUAUAAAGUUAUGUUUAUUAAUAUUAUUAUGAUGAAGAGAUGAAUUACAACAAAUUUUAGAAUAAAGUUUAGGCAGGAUGUUUGCGAAUUGAUAUUUGUAUUUGACAAUUGAAUUUGGUACUCUUCUCAUCUUAAAACGAACGAGUUCGAACUAUAACUUUUCAAGGCCCUCAGCUACUGAACAUGAGAAAACAGUGCCCGUAGCUGACUUUAUGCAGAUGGAAAAGCUUAACGGUAUUGAGUGACUCAUAGUGGAAAUUGUAACGAAAAUGUAUAUAAAUACUCAUGCUUGGUGAAUGGUUAUCAAAGCUUUCCAGUAAAUCGCAAAACAAGUUUAGCUAUGAAACUCUACCUGCUAACAAUUUUUGCCGUGUUGGUCCUUUUGGUCCUUCCACCGGCCGCAAAUGC